AGGUACAAGGGGUAAGCUUUGCUUUUUUUUACUUUUAAUAAUUCUUUCAUCUUUCCCUUAUGGUACUUUCUCUAUAGCGCCAUUGAUGACUAAAUUUCUAUCUCCUAUACUUUAGAUGUAUGGUAAAUGUUUUAUUUGAUUAGUUUAUGGUCGUAGCAGUGGAGAGGGUAUGGGCUAGGUAUAGUUCAAGAUAUACGGGUUGUGGAAUCUUCUAGGUGUAAACUAGAUGCUUUGUUUAAGCUAUAUCUUGUUUUAUCCAAGCACACUUUCCAGUAUGCUUACCUUGUUACGACUUGUCUCCUCUCGUAUAGUUGCUUAGCAUGGGUUAGUGAACUGGGGCUUUGCUAUGAUACUUGAGGAGGGUGAUGGGUGGUGUGUGUGUGCUUCAUGGCCUUAUUCAAUUAAGCACUCUACUCUUAAUUUACUACUAAAUCCUCCUUUGGUUUUUAGAUUUCAUAAAAACUUUCGUGUGGAUAUAAGGGGUGUUCUUAAUAUAGAAAAUGUAGCCCAUUUCUUCCCAUCCCAUAGGUUACACCUUGACCUAACGUUUUUAUGUAUGGUAGUUAUGCUUACUUUCGCUCCCUUUUAGGGUUUGCUGAAGAUGGCGGUAUAUAGACUGAAGUAGCAAGGGUUGGUGAGGUUAAUCGGGGUUUAUCGGUUACAGAACAGGCUCCUCUAGAGGGAUACGAAGCACCACCAAGUCCUUUGAGUUUUAGGCUGUUGCCAGUAAUACUCUGGCGAAUAGUCUUGUUUUGGGACUAUUUAAGUUUACGACUAAGCAUAGUGGGGUGUCUAAUCCCCAUUUGGGUCUCAGUUGUCAUGUAUUCAGAUUGUACUAAAGUCACUUUCGUGGUUUGGCUUAGUUUUAAUUAUGGCUUUUUACAGCUUAAUUAGGAUUUGACUUUAUUUUGUGUGAUUCCUUAACACUCUUUACGCUGGGUCUCUAUUAAUUUGGGUCAAUCGUAUGACCGCGGUGGCUGGCACGAAGUUUACCAACUAGCUAACAUAACUUAGUCAAACUUUCGUUCAUGGCUUAAUUUUUAUCACUGCUGUGUCCCGUGGGGGUGUGGCUAAGCAAGGUGUCGUGAGCUGCUAGUGCAGUGUGCUUGCUACCCGCUCCUUGUGAUCUUUAUGAUUUGGAGGGCAUUCUCACCGGGUGUGGAUGCUUGCAUGUGUAAGUCUGUUAAGAAUUAAUAGAAAGGCUGGGACCAAACCUUUAUGUUGAUGGGGCUGGCGAGCCCAUCUAGACAUUUUCAGUGUCUUGCUUUAUGAAAAAUUUAAGCUACAUUAACCUAUGGGGUGUAAAAGAUGUUCGUAUAAUUUCAUUAUGGGGCUUGUGUCAGAUUUAGUAUUGAUUUACGAAAAAAAAGAUUCGUGGAUCUAGGGACGAAGCUGUCUAGGGGGGUGGUGAAUAUCUAAGCAGACGGUCAGUUUUGUAGGGGGUAAGGGGGGUUUGGACCCCUAUGAGAUACAGUUUUUUGAGCCCGGGGGGAAUAGUGGAGUACUAUGUCCUGUGACCAUUAAUUUAACUGCACACGUUGGUUGUGCUACUCAAGUCAAAAAUACAUACAAGUCCAGCUACAAUUUGCUUGACUGUGACGAGACCUUUUAAGGUCAUAGCUGAGUCUGUGCAGGCCCCCCCCCCACACACACCAAAAAUAAAAAAUACCAAAUGUAUGGAAUCUCAGUUAUGUGUGAGCAUGGGCUGAUUAGUCAUUAAUCCAUCGAGAUGUCUUAUUUAAGGGGAACGAGUGGGCGAUUUUAAGUUAAAAUGGUCCUGAAGUAAGAACCAGAUGUCUUAUAAAGAUCACCGUUAGCUACCCCCACGAGGUAUGGGCCCGGUGCGAGAAGAGGGAUCCCUGCCGAGCGGGUUGCUGGUUUCACGCGGCAUGGUGAUUAAGCUCGUGAUCUAAUGGAGCGGCCAUAGGAUAUUAUGGAGCUGAAAUUAAAAG